CCCUUAGAUGUUCUGGGCCGCACACGCGCUACACUGGCAGGUUCAUCGAGCUUCAUGCCCUGAUCUGAGAAGAACGGGAAAUCUUUGAACACCUGCCGUGCUUAGGAUAGAUGUUUGCAAUUAUUCAUCUUCAACGAGGAUUGCCUUGUAAGCGCACGUCAUCAGCGUGCAUUGAAUACGACCCUGUAUUCUGUACACACCGCCCGUCGCUCCUACCGAUUGAAGUUUUCGGUGAAUUUACUGGAGAUCCCUUUUGAAGGUGGUUCGCCACUGGAAGAAGUAUUCAAAAGUAAAUGAAUCGAAUGCUUUAGAGGAAGGAGAAGUCGUAACA
rnacentral:rRNA from 1 species